rnacentral:rRNA from 1 species
CCUACGGGAGGCUGCAGUGAGGAAUAUUGGUCAAUGGGCGCGAGCCUGAACCAGCCAAGUAGCGUGAAGGAUGACUGCCCUACGGGUCGUAAACUUCUUUUAUAAAGGAAUAAAGUGAGGCACGUGUGCCUUUUUGUAUGUACUUUAUGAAUAAGGAUCGGCUAUCUCCGUGCCAGCAGCCGCGGUAAUACGGAGGAUCCGAGCGUUAUCCGGAUUUAUUGGGUUUAAAGGGAGCGUAGAUGGGUUGUUAAGUCAGUUGUGAAAGUUUGCGGCUCAACCGUAAAAUUGCAAUUGAUACUGGCAGUCUUGAGUACAGUUGAGGUAGGCGGAAUUCGUGGUGUAGCGGUGAAAUGCUUAGAUAUCACGAAGAACUCCGAUUGCGAAGGCAGCUUACUAAACUGCCACUGACAUUGAUGCUCGAAAGUGUGGGUAUCAAACAGGAUUAGAUACCCCUGUAGUC